GUACCAAAAGAAUUGGUGGAGCUCCAUUUGAAGCUGAUGAGGAAAAUUGGCAAAUCUGUUACUGCAGACAGAUGGGAAAAAUACUUGAUCAAGAUAUGCCAAGAGUUUAACAGUACCUGGGCAUGGGAGAUGGAGAAGAAGGGCUAUCUUGAAAUGAGUGUUGAAUGCAAACUAGCACUCUUAAAGUACCUCUGUGAGUGUCAGUUUGAUGACAAUCUCAAAUUCAAGAAUAUUAUUAAUGAGGAGGAUGCCGAUACUAUGCGUCUUCAGCCAAUUGGUCGAGACAAAGAUGGCCUCAUGUACUGGUACCAAUUGGAUCAAGAUCACAAUGUCAGAAUGUACAUAGAAGAACAAGAUGAUCAAGAUGGCUCUUCAUGGAAGUGCAUUGUCAGAGGAACAGAAAGAAAGUGAAAAGAUGAAAAGUGAGGAGCAGCCUAUGGAUUUAGAAAACCAUUCUACAGCCAAUGUUCUAGAAGAGACUACUGUG
rnacentral:sRNA from 1 species